UGUAUGUAUGUAUUUCAUGUGUGAAGAUGUUCAGUCGAAAUCGGUGACUUGUGUUACGUGUUGGGUUAAAGCAAUCCAAUUUAUAAAAUAACAACAUUGGCGAAAUUUGCUUCGCGAUAUAAACGAGUAGAUAAUUAUAGAAAUUUCAUCAUAGAUUUAUGUAUUCCUGGUUGAGCGGAUGUACAGUCGAAACUGGUGAUUUUUUGUUUCUUUAAAGAUCGAAAUGUCACAUACUAUUAGUACAUCAUUUUGCGAAUUCAUCGAAUAUUAUAAGGAAAGUGCUAUACAGGGGUAUGCAGAUAUUUCCAUAUGUUUAAUUGGAGUGAUUUUCAAUGUGCUCAACAUACUGGUAUUUACAAGGAAAAAAAUGAUUUCCUCAGCAAAUGUGAUAUUCACCCACUUGGCUUUUGCAGAUAUAUUGAAUUUACUAGCAAGCAUUCUGUGGGAAUGGAUAUUUUUCUUUCGAUACAAUAUGGAACCAGAUAUACCAGAUAAAACAAUACUAACUUACACACUUGCAGUAAUUUAUGUAAGCAGUGCGUCUUUGACUGAUGGUCGCGCUAUUCACAAAAGGAUCAACUAAUGAACUACAAAGGUCACGUUCAAACACCCAAAAUAACCCCAGAAACGCAAAAAUGAAACAACAAGCUGAUCGAUUAAUAAUGAUAACCUUGACAGUUAUGGUGUUAUUUCUCAUCACACAAAUACCUCUUGCAGCGGUCAAUCUAAUCAAGCUGUUGUUACCUAACAUUCACAAUAAGAUGGACAGCGAUCAACAAUUAUGUUCCAUACAAUAUGCCAAUCUAUUAUCAGGAAGUACUUUUUAUUACAUCAAUAUGUCCGUAUCAUUUCUCGUAUAUUACGCCAUGAGUGAAAAUUUUAGAACCACAUUUUUAUCUCUGUUCAACAGUGGUAGUAUAAAUUCUCAAAAAAAGAAAGUUCUUCGUGUGAUUACAAUGAGAAAAACUCGUACAAGUCCAGAAGAAGGGAAUGCAAAUAGAAAUACCGAUCAAACCAUUCAAAGUCAAACCGUGAACACAUUUGUCUGAAAAAAGAGCACGUUCUUGAUCAGGUCAUAUCCCACUUUCUACCACAUCAAAAACAUGGUGUUCUCUCUUUGUAGCAACACAGCAGUACCUAAUUUUAGAGCUCAUCGUUUCUAGAAACCCCCCUCCCACAUUUUAAGAGGCAAAACUUACUCUCCUAGUCAAAAAACGGAUCUCAAAAAAAAAAUUAGUUGAGUAACCGUAUAAUAAUGAGUAAGCAUUUUGGGACAAUUCAAUUUUAUUUUUCAAGAAUCUGAAACAUUGAUAAUUAAUCGAGUUAUGGAUGCUCAAAUUGACAAACAGCCAUUUUUCUGCACAAAAAGUCGUUCUCUGCGAGCUUAAUUGCGCGCUGAAAUACUCAAAAUCAGAUACAUUUUGUUGUCCCUACCUGGUCUCCUUGAGAGAAUAUAGCAUCGUUGGCACCUAAUCCCGACGUUAUAGAGCAGCAUCUUUUCCUCCCUUUUCUAAAAAACCCCUUUGGUAUGGCUGGCAAAAUUGUAGCCCUACUUAUGCAGCCAAAAUCAACAAAAAUUAUUUGAAAAAUGCUACGUAUGAUUUGUUUACUUUGUGUAUAUUAUCAUCAUUUUAUUCAAUUACAUGAUUUUAUUUAUUUAUGUUUUUCAAUACUUUAUUUCAUUGUAA